rnacentral:rRNA from 1 species
UCAGUUCGGAUUGGAGUCUGCAACCCGACUCCAUGAAGCUGGAUUCGCUAGUAAUCGCGCAUCAGCCACGGCGCGGUGAAUACGUUCCCGGGCCUUGUACACACCCGCCCGUCAAGCCAUGGAAGCCGGGGGUGCCUGAAGUGUGCAACCGCAAGGAGCGCCCUAAGGUAAAACUGGUGACUGGGGCUAAGUCGUAACAAGGUAGC